UGCUUAAAACAUAGUGUUAAUGCAUUGAAUCCCAUUAGAACUCUCUAGUUAAGUGCACUCGGACUAGAUUAGUAAUGGGAUGGGUGACCGUCUGAGAAGUCUUAGUGUUUUACAUGC
rnacentral:rRNA from 1 species